rnacentral:misc_RNA from 1 species
UUAAGUUCAGCGGGUAUCCCUACCUGAUCCGAGGUCAAAGUGAUAAUAAAGGCUUGUUGGAAGGGGGCAGGCUGGAGACGCGACGCAAUGUGCUGCGCACGAAGCCAACUUACCGGCUGCCAAUGAAUUUGAGGCGAGUCCACGCGCGGAGGCGGAACAAACGCCCAACACCAAGCAGAAGCUUGAAGGGUUAAAUGACG